rnacentral:rRNA from 1 species
AUACGGAGGGUGCAAGCGUUAAUCGGAAUUACUGGGCGUAAAGCGUACGUAGGCGGUCCGUUAAGUUAGAUGUGAAAGCCCCGGGCUUAACCUGGGAACUGCAUUUAAAACUGGCGGACUAGAGUUGAGUAGAGGGGAGUGGAAUUUCAGGUGUAGCGGUGAAAUGCGUAGAGAUCUGAAGGAACACCAGUGUCGAAGGCGACUCCCUGGACUCGAACUGACGCUGAGGUACGAAAGCGUGGGUAGCAAACGGGAUUAGAAACCCCAGUAGUCC